rfam:Gorilla gorilla gorilla genomic chromosome, chrX, whole genome shotgun sequence
GCCGGGCAUGGUGGCUCAUGCCUGUAAUCCCAGCAUUUUGGGAGGCCGAGGUGGGCGGAUCACCUGAGGUCAGGAGUUCGAGACCAGCCUGGCCAACAUGGUGAAACCCCGUCUCUG